GAUGAAGAACGUAGCGAAAUGCGAUACGUAAUGUGAAUUGCAGAAUUCAGUGAAUCAUCGAAUCUUUGAACGCAUAUUGCGCUCUCUGGUAUUCCGGAGAGCAUGCUUGUUUGAGUAUCAGUAAACACCUCAACUUCCAUAUCUUUUUUGAAAUGGGAGUUGGACUUGAGUGAUCCCAACGCUUUUCCUCACCGAAAAGUGGCGGGUUACUUGAAAUGCAGGUGCAGCUGGACUUUUCUCUGAGCUAUAAGCAUAUCUAUUUAGUCUGCCUAAAAAACAGAUUAUUUCCUUUGCUGCAGCUAACAUAAAGGAGAUUAGUUCUUGUGCUGACUGAUGCAGGAUUCACAAAGACGGCUUCGGCCGACUUUGUAAACUCGAUCUCAAAUCAAGUAAGACUACCCGCUGAACUUAAGCAUAUCAAUAAGCGGAGGA
rnacentral:misc_RNA from 1 species